AGUCAGUACAGCCAUGAUGAAGAAACUCCCUCUGCUCUCUGCAGCCUUCAUGCUGCUGCUGCUCCCAGAGACUCUGACUCAAGGUAAGCUGCAGAGUACUUCAGAAAUCUGUUUUAAAUACUUUUUUUUUUUUUUCUUGUAUUGAAAUUUUCUCCCUCCUCUUUUUUAAUCAUGUCAUUUUUGUGUCAGAGAGUGAGGUAACUCCCAUCGAUGUGGUGGUGGAGAACAGCAUACAUAAUUUGGCUCCUGUUACCUUCAGCACUCAUGUAGUUUACAGAGGAAUCCUGCUGGGAGCUCUGAGGAGACUCAUGGCCUCUAAUAGCGACUUCAAGUAAGAUCACACCAUCAAGUAUGUUUGCAUUAGUUAAAGCUGCUACGAGGAACUUUUGGUUUGUGAUAUUUUAUUGUUGGCUGGCUAAAACAGGGUGAAAACAUGCCACAAGGGACUGGAUGCUGGUUUUAGCUGUGUUCUGGUGAUAGCUAAUGGGCUGGCAAAUGUUAUUUAACUUGAAAUAUAACCGUACGUCACUCCUGAUGUUCACUGUCUAUUGUCUGUGUUGUUGCCUCUCAAUAAAAAACCUGCAGAAUCACCAAAAUUUGUCAGGUCUGGACAAAACACUCGAAUAAUAAAUGAUGAUUUAUUUUAUUUCAGAAUCAAACCCCUUAUAUAUUUCCAUUUCCACACACUGUACAGUACACAUUAAAAACCGAUGCGAAUGGAGGUCAGUCAUGGCUCUGAAUCUUCCUUAUGUACACUUUAACAAUGUCAUCACUGUCCUCUCUAUUUGGUUAGGUUCACAUAUACAGAGGAUCCAAACUACGGCCCGUUUUUAGAGAGUGUGAACGGCGUGGCAGGAAAUAGCAAGGACCAAACAUACUGGGAGCUGCUGGUUAAGAGACCAAAUGGCAAAAUCAUCAGACCUGAUGUUGGUGAGUCCACAGGAAAAAUUCAACCAUCAAUUUUUGAUUAAAAAAAAAAAAAAAAGGCACAGUUUUGACCUUUUUUUUUUUUCUUUUGCAGGGAUUGGAUGUUACAUACCCAGCGCCAAUGAGAAAAUCAUCCUGAGAUUUUCAAAGUGGUGAAGGUUCAUUAGUAUUCAGCCAUACCAACAAGACACAAGUGUAUAAAAGAAAAUAAUGAAGCAGCAUGCAUCUGUGUUUAAUGUUGAGUCAAUAAAAAACUUCUCCAUGUG